AUUGAACGCUGGCGGCAGGCCUAACACAUGCAAGUCGAGCGCGAAAGUCUUCGGAUGAGUAAAGCGGCGAACGGGUGAGUAAUGCAUGGGAAUCUGCCUGGUAGUGGGGGACAACGUCCCGAAAGGGACGCUAAUACCGCAUACGCCCUACGGGGGAAAGGGGGGGAUCUUCGGACCUCUCGCUAUCAGAUGAGCCCAUGUCAGAUUAGCUAGUUGGUAGGGUAAAGGCCUACCAAGGCGACGAUCUGUAACUGGUCUGAGAGGAUGAUCAGUCACCCUGGAACUGAGACACGGUCCAGACUCCUACGGGAGGCAGCAGUGGGGAAUAUUGGCCAAUGGCGGCAACCCUGCUCCAGCCAUGCCGCGUGUGUGAAGAAGGCCCUUGGGUUGUAAAGCACUUUCAGUGGGGAGAAAGGUCUGGCACCUAAUACGUGUUGGAAUUGAUGUUACCCACAGAAGAAGCACCGGCUAACUCCGUGCCAGCCGCCGCCGUAAAAC
rnacentral:rRNA from 1 species